AUACUUCAGGUACACCCACGAGCUCUCUGAAGUGUCUUAUCUAUUUUCACUCCGUGUAUUUACGCAGAAAGACAGAAAAAAACCCUGGAUUUAUCAUGUUUUGUGUGUUAUUUUUGAUUGUUGUUUUGGAUUUGAACUUGUAUCUAGCCAUGAGUUUCAUGAAUGUUCACACUAUUACCUUUUUUUUUUCAUUUGU